GUGAAUCAGAAAUUAGGACAAUUUCUACUCUCCCUAUGCGCUGAUUGGUGAUGCAAUAAGCUAACCUUAUCUUUAUUUUUAAACUCAACCACAUAUCCUUCUUUCUUGUUUCCUCCAUGCGCAAGGCAAAGACCAUCUUUAGAAAAAUAAAUUGCUUCUCUUUGAUUUAGCACACAAAACCGUAUACAACAUGCAAGCCUCUACCCUUCCCCUCUGGCUCAAACGACGCAUAACUUGGAGGAGAUGAAAUGCCUCCUUCGAUCCUACUCAUUCUUACCGGGACCGACCCUGAGUGAGGUCCACACUGUGUGCACUUGGUACAUCUCUGUUUGUAAAUCUUCCCCUGCAUGCAGCGGCAACUGACCCCCUUUUUGGAGCCUAGGAAGAGCAAAGGUGAUACUCAGGGUGUGGAGAUUAUUCCCUGCAAAUACCUAGAGAGAAGUUUAGGUCACAUAUGAGUAGAGGUAAACUGAACCUUAAGCCAUUUUAAUUUCAUCUAUUCGGCCUGUAUGGACAUUAAUAAGAAACUGAAAUUUUGUCAUCCUCUUCCUUUCCUUGGUUCGGUUGGACCUGAUCAAACGAGGACAUGAGGUGCUCUUAUGUUCUGUAUUUGAUGGAAACCGUUUGAUGUUGAUGACGAUUCCCUUUGCAUGCAUAUUGGUUGCAUAUUGGUAGAUCGAUUUCUCGCAUAGGAGGAGGGGGAAGGUACUGUUUCACUUUUGGUUGAUGCAUUGGAUAUGUCCGGAACAUUUUGGUACGUUUGAGGAGGCGCACAAGUUCUUAGAUAAUGGGACUGUUCGAUGAUGUUUGGAAUGCUUGAUUUAAAAGUAAAGUGCCAAGGAAAUAGAACUGAAAAGUAUAAAAAGUUAAAUGAUGUGACUCAUCAAAUUAGUAUCAGUACAAUCUCCAGAGAGUUGGCGCAAGUUGACGCCAAAGUGAAGAAAUCCCACGCCAAGUUGCGCUGUGCUGCACGCCAAAUGCCAGAGAAUUGGCGCUAGUUGGCGCCAGAAUGGCGCAAACUAGCGCCACCAUGCCACCUUGCGCCAAACAUGAAGCAAACCGGCGCCCAAAAUUACAAAGUCAAGGGAGAAUGGCGCCAAGUGGCGCCCAAAAGACCAAGGGUGGCGCCAACUGGCGCCGAUUCACGUGCAAUUAGUUCCGACUUUCGUAUUCGAGGCAGCAAGUUGGCGCAAACGUGCGCCAAACCGGAGCCAACUGGUGCCGGGUUGCGGGAAAUUGUACCGUGAUGCUAUGAGGGUAUUUUUGGAAGAAGGAAAAGAGUCCUAUAAAUAGGAUCCUUUUGACAGAAUUAAGGAUUCCGACCUAUUUCUUCAGAAGGAGACCGACGACAGAGCUCAGGAGGAUUCUUCUACAGUUCUUCUUCUUCUCUUUUCUCUGUAAUUUUAUGCUUUUGAAUAUUGGAUUAGUUUUAGCCAUGAUUAUGUUUGGCUAGUUUUCCUUCAUUGUGGGUAAGGUCACAAACCCUAUGUGAACCUUUUGUUUAGUUAUGGAUUGAUUUACUUUU